GGGGGGCUGGGGGGUGCAGCAUUCUGCUCACCACGUCACAAAGCAGUGUGGAAAUAGUUUCCCUCCAGAGGGAGAGGUCAUAGGUUCUUUUUCCCUUCAGAAUGAGAGAAUUAAUGUCAGGACAAGUUCCAGAAUAGCUUGGGCCCUAGCUGUAGAGUUUUUCUUGGCCCACGUUAGAACAGUGGUCAAGGACACAUGGGCAUCCAACAGGUCCUGUCACCAGGACACCGUGACCCUGGCCCAUUCAUGGAAUGUUCCAGAAUAGUAUUGUCCAGCCAGCAGAACCUUAUACAUUUCUGGAGUGAUAACCACUAGCCUUGAGUGUCGCUUUCAGGUUUUGAAAUCGUCGCUACGCAGCUGGUGAGCCAAAAGGGCUUGAUUUUUUUAAAAUUCUAUUUGAGUUUAAUUAAAUUUCAAUGUAAUCAGAUCUAAGCGGCUCGUGGGGGCUCUAUUGGAUAGCAGAGCUCUGGAGUUUUCUUGAUUUGACAUUCUCUCCUUGUCUGGUCUUCAUUUUAUUAUUGAAAAUAGAUUUCGUCAUAAAGAGCUAAAAUGACUCUUCAGCUCUUUAUGUGCGUAAUGUUUAGAGUUUUAACUUUUGGCUGGGAGACAGAGGCCAGAUGGCAUUGGCUAGCUUUAGGCCCAGCACGAGGGAGAACAGCGUCCCCUCCGGGUGACGAGAGGAAAGACGCUUUCCUUUUGAGGCCUUGGCCUCCUCUGAUAUUGCCUGAGUUAAUCCGGAGGAUGCUGGGUGGGGCAGGGUGAAUCUGGAGUCCUGGCAGCGAGAUGGUCGCCUGGCAAACUUCUUCAUGAAAAGGCGUUAGCAAGAGUUAGUCUACACCUGAGCCUGCUCUAUAUGAUUGGGGUUCUUCCCCUGAGGCUCCCACAACUCCUUGAGAUUUGCAGGUGAAAUCUACAUAUUGCCAAGCCCUCUUCCCCACACAACUCCUUGUCUCUGCUUCCACAGACGGGGGUAACUGUCUUGUUUUAGAAUACCAUGUUUCUUUUUGCUACCGUCGAGAUGCCACCUUAAGCAAGCCUCCAUUUAUUUCUGAAUGAAACAAACAAGUCGCUGAAUAAAGUGGCGGGUGCUGGAAUAGCUGUUUGGGAUUCAAGCCUCAGCUGCCCUCGUUUCUUUCUCGGCUGACUCCCCCAGCGCAUUCACAGCAGCUCCCGAAGCGUCAGAGUGUCCGCUCGCCUAUCUGUGCUUAUGCUCAACAGCCUGGAGUCUUGGUCAGGAACAGAGCAGGGUCCGUUCCCGACUUUCUACCUACCCAGACAAGCGGCUCAGCCCUACUCUGGAGGGACUGGUGUGGGAGGGCAGGCUGCCGCCCAGGGUCAGGGAAGAGUGUGCCGCUUGCAUGUAAGACACAAAUAAGGGAUUUAGAAGCAUGAAGCUGGUAGGCGUUGCUAGGCAACGGUUUCACGGGGCCUGGAGGUAACACAAUCUGGGGAGCAGUCUGGUAGCCAAGCCUCUUAAGGACAAACUGGACCUUCACCACCGGAAGUGAACGGGGCAGGAAAGGGCCUCAGAGCGUUCCACCACCACGGCUGUGGGAAAGACCCGCUCCCGCGGCUCCCUCAUAGGUCAUGCUCUCCGCGUCGCACAAGAUGGGAUCAGAAGUGGUCCGAGAAAUAUGCACGCUGUAGUGGGACAGGCACUGAAGAAGGAAACACCGGGGUUACCCAGCAGAACUCUUGGAUGAAUAUCAAUGUUUUGAUCCCCCUUUAAAGAAAGUAACCACAGCUAUCCCAGGGAUGAAUUCCAACAUAGCCCGUGGCGGCCAUCGGAGCGGGAGCUGAUCAGACCGUUGGUUAUCUUCCCACACAUCUGCCUGAGAUAGAGACUUGUAAGCAAAUGAACAGUUCGUGGCAACCAAGAAGCGACUCAAACCUGUAUUUUCAACGUCUCUGUUAACAUGGGAAGAUACAAGUUUUGCCUUGUAGGCUGAUGGUACUUUCAAACUUGAUGGCGUGUUUCAUCAGAAAGAGACCAGCACAGUCAUACAAAGAGGUUGGGCUACCAUCGCUCGUGGUGUGGAAGGAAAGGCUACUAGACUAAAGAUGAAAAGCCAAGUGCAGGUCUCUACUUGGGCUGACAGCAUCUACAAUGGCCUUUGUGUACCUCAGCACUGACCCAUAGAUGGUCACCAACAGGACCUGGGUAGAGGGACAAAGCCACCAUGGAGUACAUCCCCACUACAUCACGAGUCUGAAGCAGGCGUAACAUGAACAGUGGGCUCAGGCCCAUUGGCAUCUUCAUGUUCAUGGAUGGCAUCCCCAGAAACAGAUCCUCAGGGACAUACUGUGGCUGCAAAUGCCACAGUGUGACUGCAAAGCCUGCUCGUGACUUUCUGAGGAACUGUGUUAACGAAGUCACAGUGGGUGAUCUGAUCAAUGUGAACAAGUCACACCUAAGGGCCUGCUCAGGUGACAAACACGUUGAUCUUGUCACGGGGUGAGAUCAGUCUCUCAAGAUUUUAAAUAAUGGGGAAAUUGAGAAAUAGGUUGUUCAAGUUGAAAAAGAAAAGGAAGAAUCAAAGACCAUUGUGAUGAGGUAAAACUUGGGUUGAAGCAGCUUUUAAGCUGCACCACAGUGAGUCUCAGUGGCAUGCUGGUCUCCCUCCAGCCAUGCAACCACCCUCAAAGUACCCAACAAACAGCUGUAAUUUUUAACCUUUAAAAACGACUUCCGUGAUUGGUCUCAAAUCGUGACAACUCAGCAGUCAAUGUGAUAAAAUCUAGAAUGAUGUGGGAGAUGAGCUGCUGGGCAUUGCAAAGAUUUUGGUUAGAUUAACUGUCCAGGGAAGACCUCCCACUGUGGGUAGCACCAUUCCCUGGGCUGGGAUCUAGUCAGCUGAACUUAAGCAUUCGUUGUUUUCUGCUUUCUGCUUGUGAAUGCAAGUGACCAGCCAGUUCAGGCUCUGACCACCCAAAUUCAGGUUCCCCUCACCCCCAAAGCCAAGAUGAAUGACCCUUGAGCUAUGAACCAAUACAUGCCCUUCCUUUCUUAAAAUUGCUUUUAUCACAGCAACAAGUCACACUUCUCCUUUCUCUCAGCGAUUUUAUGUUGGGCUUUAUUUGAAAAAUAGAAGUUAUUCUUUAUACCUAAAGAGCCUAAAAGUUCAAAAAGUGAUCUCUCUCUCUCUCUCUCUCUCUCUCUCUCUCUCUCUCUCUCUCUCUCUCUCUCUGUGUGUGUGUGUGUGUGUGUGUCUUUGUCUCUCUCCUCUCUCUGUCUCUGUCUUUCUGUCUCUGUCUCUCUCUGUCUCUCUCUGUCUCUCUCUCUCUCUCUCUCACACACACACACACACACACACACACACACACACACACACACACACACACUCACAUUGCACAUCUGCCUUUUUCCCCUUCUGGCUUCCCAGAGGUAUCUAUUUUAGUAAUUCAGCCUUUUAAAUACCGCCCCCACAACCUGUAUUCAUAACACACAUGUGCCUCUAUUUGAGCUUCUUGCCUUCACACUGUCUGUUGACGUCUCACUAGGGAAGACAGAGUUAGAAUUAGCUGCUGCUCUUCUCCGCCUGUCAACACCUGCUUCCCAUGUCAUUCCCAGACCCUCCAGCAUUCAUCUAUCGGGUCAGCCUGAAGGUCUGCAGUUACAUUGUGUUGAUCUUCCAAACCCUUCCCAGUGGAGCUAUAGUGAUGUCCUUUCCUGACCCAUAGUUCCUCCCAGGAGGUAGACUUUUUUUCAUCACUGUUUAGAUUAUUUAUGUCUGUCACUAAUUCAACACCAAACACUCAGGAGAAUCAAAUUCACUCCAAGAUUAUAUUUUACAGGUUUUGUUCUACCAAUUCCUAGGAGGAAGGCCUCUCUCCUAAGACCUUCUCAAUCUAGCUCAUGUUCUUAGAUCCCUCCUCAGCUGUCUGGAAAUUGAGAUCUCUUCACAUUCUGGUGGCUGGGAGUCCAGGACGGAGGCUCCAGUGUGAGUGGUCUGAGGUGAGGCCUCUCUUGCUGCUUUGGAGACACCACAUUCUGUCACUGUGUCCCACUAUGACCUUGCUCCGUGCCCACGUAGACAGAUCCCUCACUUCUGUGGUUACUUUGUCCUAUAAGGAGAUAAACUUUAUCUCAGAGGGCCGCUUCUUCAUAGCAUCCUUUCAUCUUGACCACCCCUUUGAAGGCCCUAUCUCCAUCUAUAAUCCUAUUCAGGGUUAGCUCUUUGAUAUAUUGUGGGAAGGAACAUAACACGGUUAAUUCCACAACAGUAUGCUAUGUUACUCAUAGUCUUUCUGAUCCCAAAUCUUUUUUUCUGAUUCUCCAGAACCUACUCUCCGUGCCUUAGGGAGGAGGGUGGUGGCAGUCUUCAGCAGUCUACGACAACCCUCUUCCUUGUAGAUGCACACAGCAGAGAGGUUGCAGGUGCUGACCCCUGAUUUGUUAGCUUCCAUCACUGUUGGUUUGGGACUUAGUUUUACAGAUCUGUUUUGUCUGUUACCAAUUGUCCAGCUUCUAGUGUUGUUGCCGUUGAAUUCUCUAUGUCCCCGGGGACUGCGGGUGGGCAGUGGCUUUGGAUAGAAAGGAGUUGUCUGUAUGUUUGCUCAUUCCCUGUCUUCCUGGAGGCUGGUAGCCCCUUCCCUGAGACCCAUCACUCCCUUUAGCUUGGUGUUCCACAGAAUGCCCCACCCCCAAGGGAUGUGUACAGUGCUGAUGCUCUGAGGCUUGGUCUCUGGGGACAGCGGUCUGCUCCCAUUAGACCACAAGAUGGGCAGCUCACCCAGUAUCCAUCACAAGGACACUUCGUGAACUCCAACAAUGGUUUGUGCUUAGACGUGAGCAAAGAACCACCUCCUUUUCUGAGCACAAUUUCCCUACAUUUAGAAACCUGAUCUAUUGUCAGUGGCAUGGAAUGUAUAUGUGCUAGUCUUCCUCUGUUGCUUUGGGACUUUGCUCUGUGGAGUACUGCUGACAUCCACUUUUGUUAGCUUUUCUCCUGCAGAAGUCUUUUCCUUAAGAUCUUAUUUAGAAGUACUCUUUUUAAACACAAAGUUGAACUGACCCUCCACUAGCCUGAAUUUCAUUUGAAACUUGGAUGUUCGAGUAUUCUAAUGAAGGCAGACUUAUAUUGUCUAAGAUCUUGUGGACUCUGUCAGUGCUUCCCAGCUAAGCAAAUCUGCACGCACAAUCCUCUCUGUGCAGUAUUUUACCUCAUGGCUUUUUUUCUUAAACCAAAAAGAAAGAAGGCAUUUUGUAAGUACCUGCAGCUUAGCAGGUAGUGUUCUAUUUAGAAUUAGGAAUAAGUGAUAUUUCCUCUAUACCAAGUUCUCAUAAAAACAUCCAGGACAUAGAGGCCGAUGUAGAUAUAAGUAGCACAUAGAAGAAAGCAGCUUAGGACAGAGGCAGGAGGUCAUCUUAUUGAAAACCACCUCUCAGAGGAAAAGGUUGUUAAUGACUUGGCACAGGGCACUCAGCCAUGUUUUGAUGCAGAUAUUGCAAUGCGGCCAAUGGCAUACCCAGAAGGAGUAUGUAGGAGAAGACUAACAAUGUCACCUUAGAGAAGAUGUCCUAGAAGGGACAACUAUUUCAAAUCUUACUCAGACUACACUUCAGCCCACAUCGUGUCAGCUCUUCUCUGACACAGUUCCAGCUGCUUCUUUGCACCCGUGCUCCCACCUUGUCUCCACGAGGCGGCCAGCAUGAGGGCUUUUUACUUUCAAAUUUUAGGUCAAGUUUAUCAACAUGUAUACUCUUUAAGUGUGAAACUUGGUGAAUCUUGAGGAAAACAUACACCCAGUACUAACCCCACCACCAAACACAAGCAGGUCAUUGACCACCGGAAGUUGCCUCGGUCACCAGAAGUUACCUCGGCCACUGGAAGUUGCCUCGGUCACCAGAAGUUACCUUGGCCACCGGAAGUUGCCUCAUCCACUGGAAGUUACCUCGGCCACCGGAAGUUGCCUCAUCCACUGGAAGUUACCUCGGCCACCGGAAGUUGCCUCAUCCACUGGAAGUUACCUCGGCCACCGGAAGUUGCCUCAUCCACUGGAAGUUACCUCGGCCACCGGAAGUUGCCUCAUCCACUGGAAGUUACCUUGUCCACCAGAAGUUGCCUUGAGCUUUUUCCCUCACAUGCAGGCAGCCAGCAACUAUUUUUACUUCUGCCAUUGUGAGCCUUCAGUUGCAUUUCUCUUGUAUCUACACAAGUCAUUUCAGCACUAUUAAAAGUGUCCUAUUAGUGUUCCCUUUAAAAUAAGGCUUUGUUCUACCAAAUGCGUUGGUUCGUCUCCUUUACCAAAACUUGUCCGUGUGAGUGUACUUCUGGAUCCUGCAUUCUGGUCUGCUCCUGUGUUCGAUGGUCUUCACAGCAGUGCUGAACCAUCCUGGUUAGUAGAGCUUUAAAAUCUUCAAACCAGGUAGUACCAUUCUCUAAACGUGUUAGCAGUGUUGCAUCUUUAGUACAGUAAUAAAUACUUAGGGUAGACCACGUGAUAGCUUGAUAUGUUUAUUCAUGGUAAAGAGUUAUUAUAAGCCAGAAAGGUACCAAGUUUCACAUGACAUUAUGUCCUUGUUUUGAAUGAAAAGGAAGUGGGGUCAUGCAUGGGGCUCGCCUUACUUCAGCUCCUACAAUGUCCUCCAGAUCUAACUUGGUGGACGUUUCAUGGGCUCACGGAGCUCCAAGGCGGAUGUCGUGUGUUGUCUGGCCCUGCCCUUUACCUUAUCUUUUGAGAUAGGGUCUGCCGUUGAAAACUGGAGCUUGGGCUUGGGGAUUUAGCUCAGCGGUAGAGCGCUUGCCUAGCAAGCGCAAGGCCCUGGGUUCGGUCCCCAGCUCCGAAAAAAAAAAAAAAAAGAAAACAAAACAAAACUGGAGCUUACUGGUUUGCCAUGCUCGCUGGCCAGUGAGUCCCCAGGGUUCCUCCUGUCCCCAUCUUUCAAUGCUGGUAUUACAGGCACGUGUUGUCACAGCUGGCCCUUUUACAUGGGUGUGGCCAAGUUCUGGUCAUUGUGCUUACAUGAUAAGCACCAUGCCCAUUGAGCCAUCCCCCUAGCCCUGGAGUCUCCUCUUAAAGGUGGAAUAAUCCUUUCUCUUCUCUUCUCUUCUCUUCUCUUCUCUUCUCUUCUCUUCUCUUCCUUCCCUUCCCUUCCCUUCCCUUCCCUUCCCUUCCCUUCCCUUCCCUUCUCUUCCUUCUUCUUCUUCUUCUUCUUCUUCUUCUUCUUCUUCUUCUUCUUCUUCUUCUUCUUCUUCUUCUUCUUCUUCUUCUUCUUUUCUUCUUCUUCUUCUUCUUCUUCCUUCUUCUCUCUCUCUCUCUCUCUCUCUCUCUCUCUCUCUCACACACACACACACACAUCACAGAUGACAUCACAGUCUCAUUAUCCAGUCAUUUAUUGAUAGAUAUUUAGCUUUUUUUCCAUUCCCUGCUUAUUGUAAUAUUGCAGUAAACACAGGAUGGUUAAUUUCAUUCCUGCACCACCAUUACUGCCCUUAAGAACCUCUCCCAGUGUUCCCUAUAGCAGCCGUUCCAAUGCUUGUCCCCACCAAGAGUAGAUGAGGGUUCCUUUCCCUCUGAGCCUCUGCCAACACUACUUACUACCCCUCUGCUAUGAGAGCCUCCCUAUCCAACAUAAGGUGUCAUCUCCUCAUGGCUCUGAUUUCUCAUCUUCAUGAUGAUUAGUGAUGCUGAACUUUUUACUUGGGUCUUCGGUGUGUGUGUGUGUUUUAUCUGAAGAGUCUGCUUUGAUUCUUUCACAUGUGGGCCCCCCUCUCCCCAUCACCCCUUAUGGAGAAGAAAAGACAUCCCAUACUGUGCCUUUUGGGUAUCACCAGUUUGGGUGUCAAAAAUUAGUUUGGGUUAUCUCUGGAGUCUGGUGUCCUGCCAUCUGUGGCUGGAUUGUGUCAGCCAUGCGUGCUGUUGAUGGCUGGGCCGAAGAUUGCCAUCUCUUUAGUACACCUUGAAACCAGAAUAUGUGGGGCCUCCAAUGUUGUUUUUGUUUCUCAAUAUUGUUUUGGCUGCUCGCGGCCUUUUAUGGUCCAGAAUUUUUGUUGCUAUUCCUAUGAAGAAAUAUCAAAGUAAGUUUGGAAGGUACCCCUGUGAAUGUAUAUGUUGCUUUUGGCAGUGUGGAUAUUUAAACAACGUUGUAACAUAUGAGCAUAGGGUUUCUUUCUUUCUACAAAGGCAUUCUUUAGUUUCUUCUAUCAGAAAUGCACAGUUCCCAGUGUGUAGCUCUUUGGCUUUCAUGGCUACCUUUAUUGUUCUACUUGGUUUUGAAGCUUUAGAAAGUAGACGGCCUCCCCCAACUCCUUCCCCUGUGCUAUCCUGUUUCCUUUAGGUAGUUCUGAUGAACAGAGAUGGAACUUACUUGAAGAUUUUGAUUUCCUAGAACACAGAGCCUUGCUGAAUUCACUUAUUCUCAUACUUUUGUGCAUCUUUGGGGUCUUGGUGUCUAUAAAUAGGGACAAUUUUGUUUCUUCCUUCCCCAUCGACAUGCCUUCCAGUUCUUUCUUUUUUUUUUUCAUCCGAUUGCUCCCAAUAGCACAUUCAUGAUACAGUGGACAGAAGAGGCGUGGGCAGCUUUCUUGUCAUGUGCUUGCCCUCGGAGUUCAAGUGGUCUUCUCCACUGACCCUGGUGCUAGCCUCCGGCUCUGUCGUGAACAGCUUUUUUUAUGGAGAGGAAGUUUCCUCCCAUAUCUAGAUUAGAGAAAACUCCAGAAGAAGGACAAAGUGCUUCUUCUGCAUCAAGUGAGUGGCCAGGUGCGUCUUGGGUUGUAUUCCUUAGUGCAACGCAUCGCAUCUGUUGGCUUGCAUGCGUGAAUCAAGUCUGCAUGCCAGGGGCCACUGCACUUGGUUAUUUUGAACCCUCUUUCUGCUGUGUUAGUGCAUGUGCUUUGUUUGCAUUUGUUAAGCAUGCUGUGUGUCCGUGUUCACCACGGAGACCGACCUGUACUUCUCUUUUCCUGUGAUGUUUCUGUCUGGCUUUGGUAUCAAAGUGAUAGUGGCCUCCUCAUUUUUUAAACAUUUAUAAAAAAAAUUUUUAUAUGGGUAAGUUUUGCCUACAUGUAUGUCUGCACACCACAUACAUGCAGUACCUAGAGAGGCCAGAAGAGGCCAUUGGAUUCCCCAGAACUGAAACUGGAUGGAAUGUUUACUGUGUGUGUUUGUGAACAUGUAUGGAAUGCCUAAUGUGUGUGCCUGUGAACAUGGAUGGAUAUGUGUUAUGUGUGUUUGUGGACAUGGAUGGAAUAUGUACUGUGUGUGUUUGGGAACAUGGAUGGAAUACCUAAUAUGUGUUUGAACAUGGAUGGAUAUGUACUGUGUGUUUGAACAUGGAUGGAAUACCCAAUGUGCAUUUGAACAUGGAUGGAAUAUGUACUGUGUGUUUGUGAACAUGGAUGGAAUAUGUACUGUGUGUUUAUGAACAUGGAUGGAAUAUGUACUGUGUGUGUUCGUGAACAUGGAUGGAAUAUGUACUGUGUGUUUGUGAACAUGGAUGGAAUAUGUACUGUGUGUGUUUGAACAUGGAUGGAUAUGUACUUUGUGUGCUUAUGAACAUGGAUGGAAUACCUACUGUGUGUUUGAACAUGGAUGGAAAUGUACUGUGUGUGUUUGUGAACAUGGAUGGAAAUGUACUGUGUGUGUUUGUGAACAUGGAUGGAAUAUGUACUGUGUGUGUUUGUGAACAUGGAUGGAUAUGUACUGUGUGUGUUUGUGAACAUGGAUGGAUAUGUACUGUGUGUAUUUGUGAACAUGGAUGGAUAUGUACUGUGUGUGUUUGUGAACAUGGACGCAUUGCCUAUUUGGUCUUUAUACUUGUUUCUGGACUGCUCACAUCCUUUGAAUGUUCAGAGAGUAAAAUCAGUUCGCCAGUUUGCACAAAAGAGCUUGCUAGUGUUGUCAUUGUCAUUGGGUCGGUUUGAAGGGAAUAGCGUCUUAGGGUUUUAUUGCUGUGAAGAAACACCUUGACCAAGGCAACUCUUAUAAAGGACAGCAUUUAACUGGGGCUGGCUUACAGGUCCAGAGGUUCAGUCCAUUGUCACCAUGGUGAGAAGCAUGGCAGCGUCCAGGCAGACAGUGUUGGAGAAGGUGCUGGGAGUUCCACAUCUUGAUUCACAAGCAGCAGAAAGAGACUGCGUGCCACACUGGUGUAACGUACACAUAGAGACCUCAAAGCACCCCCCCCCCCAGGACACACUUCCUCCAAAAAGGCCACACCUCCUGAUAACGACACUCCCUGGGGGCCAAGCACUCAAACAGGAGUCUAUGGCCUUUUGCAUUCACACCACUGCACCCAGGUCUUACAGUACAUUUACACGGUAGAGCUCUCUGCCUGCCUAAGGCUUCUUUAGUCUCUGACACCAUUAUGGUCUAAUCUUCUGUUUAGAGGCCUUCCACCAUCUUUUGCUAGGUAUUUUGGGUUUUAUGUUGCUGUAAAUUGUAUUUUUCUGUCCCACUCAGUGUUUACUGUGGUAAAUACACAGAACAUAAAGUGCCCUGUUUUAAGGGUCAUCUUUAGUUGCUCGAUAUCAGGACAUAGCAGUGUAACAGAUUUUUGCGUUUUGUUUUUAUUCUGCGAUGGAAAGUCUCCCUUCUUAGUACUAGGAGUAGAGAGUGGUUUUGGGGGGUGCAUUCGUUAGAAUUUGCCACAUACACAGUUGCAUCCUCAGAGCAGACACACAGUUCACAUUCUGCUUGCUGGCCUUCGUGUCUUAUUGUUUGCGGCACUGUGAGGUCCCUCCAAACUGGAGCUGGUGAGGGUUUACAUUUUUUAUUGUUCUCUGCCUCAGAGAGAAAGGCUUUCACUUGUCAGCUAUUAAACCUAACAUCAGUGCCACGAACCGUGGUUUUUCUGCGUGUGCCCGUGGUGGUAGCAGUCAGUAAGGUAGUUCACGAAGAUCUAACUUGCUGUCUUUCAUGCUUCCGUGUGAGCCCUUUCCUUCCCUACCCGUGAUGGACUUCCUAUCCUGCCUCAGUGAAUGGAAUACAGCGAAGGCGAUGGGGUAUCAAUAUCAAAUCAAAACUCAAUCUACCAAAACAUCGGGACUUCUACGGUGGGACGUGGUCUCUCCUGCUGGCUUGCUACAUAGGAAGCCAGACUCUGCAUUGUGAGCCGGCCACACUGCAAAAACGGGACCGGGCUCCCGUGGACAGUCCAUGGACCAGAGAGAUCCUGAGCUCAGUGGCUUACAAGGAACUAAACCCAGCUGGCGACAUGGAGAGAAGGGCAGUCAUUGCUACUUUACUCUUCAGAGGAGAUGGAUAGCAACGUCCGCUCACCGCUACCAUGACGUCUGAGCCUCCGCCACCAUGGAAGCCACACCCAGAUUCCUGACUGGAAACUGUGACAAUAUUGGCUUGUUUCUUUUCUUUCCAAGUGUGUUGUAUAGUUUGUUUCUUUUUUUUCCAUGUCAACUGGCAUUGAAUCCUGUCAAUAUGAAUCCAGUAAGAUGAUUACACAGUUGCUAGCGUGUAUUCUGUUGAUACUGUAAAUUAUGUAGAUAUUCAUGUAAACCUCACAUGGCCUUAAUAGCCUUUUUUUUUAUAUAGCAUUGUGCUCCAUUUGCUAAUGCUUUAAAGCACUUUUACAUGUGUUUUUAUGGCAAAUACUGGUAUACGGUUUUCAUUUUAUUAUUCAGAUAGAGUUCAUAUACCAUAAAUUUUACCACUUUCAAAAUCAUGUACAAAUCCAUGGCUUUCAGUGCAUUUGUAAUUAGUAAUUAGUGCAUGUGUAAUUAGUGCACAGCUAUCUGAUGCUAGAGCCUUUCUCUCUGGCCCCAAAGAAGCUUCAGACCUAUGAGCAGUCACUCCCCGCUGCUCUCUUGUGGAGCCUCUGGGAACCACUAAGCGACUCCCUUCCCCUGCGGAUUCUUAUUCUGAACAUGCCCAUGCCAUGUGAACGGAGUCCCAAGUUAUGACUCACUCUGCAUCUAGUUUCUUUUAUUUAGCAUACUCUUUUAUGGUCAUGGGAUAAAAUGCAUAUAACAGUCCCUUGUUCCUUUUUAUGGCUGUGUACUAUUCCGCAGUACAGAUAAGCUACAUUUUGCUUAUGGAGUCAUAGCUAUACACGUUUAUAUGGUUCCCUACCUCUUUUUUUUUUGCUACCAUGAAUAUUCAUGAGCAAAUCACGAGUGUAUUUUUAUUUUUCCUAGGCUGUACCUAGGAGUAGAAUUUUGGGUUAUAUGGUAAUUUUGUGUUUAAGUUUCUUAGCAUCUUCUGAAUUGUUCACACAGGGGCUCCACUCACAUUCCACCAGUAAUAUAUGCAGGUUCCACUGUGCCUACAUCCUCCUCAGACGCCUCGUGUCUGCCUUUUAUCACUGUGUUCAUCUCAGUGGGACUAAGAAGCUCCCUGGGGCUUGUGGUUGCUUUUCUCUGUAGCUAAUUGUAGCUAACAUCUUCUCAUAUUUGUGUGUUGGCCAUAGGUCAGUCUUCUCUGGAGAUGUUUAUUUAGAUCUUUUGCUUUUAAAAAUCGGGUUAUUUAUUAUUUUAUUAUUGAGUGGCCAUAGCUCCUUGUGUGUUCUAAACAUGUCCCUCUUCAGACAAAUGAUUUGCAAACUUGGUCCCCAAAUCUGUGAUUUAUCCCUUCAGUUCCUUGAUAAUAUUCUUUGAAGUAUGAGUUAAACAUUUUGGCGGUGACCAGUUUAUUCGUGUGUGUGUGUGUGUGUGUGUGUGUGUGUGUGUGUGUGUGUGUGUGUGUGUCUACUAGAGUUAUAUUGAAAAAAAAAAAAAGAAACUAUUACCCAGUCAAAGGUCAUAGAGAUGUGUGUUUCAAGUUUCUUUCAAGGGCUGUACUGUUUUUAGACUUACACUUAGAUCUCGGACCCAUUUCAAGUUUGGCGCACACUGUGAGGAAGGCAAUUCAGAUUUAUUAUCUUGUGUGUUGUGGGGGGCUUGUUCUGGUGCUGCUUGUACUCAGACACUAAAUUCUGUACCCAGAGAUCCGCUGGCCCCGAGAUGAACAAAUCCUCAUGUACUCCAGCUUUGGUGAUGUAAACCUUGCCCCGCCCCCAAAUUAGUCUCUGAUUGGUUAAUAAUAAGAUGCCUACAGCCUGUACAGCCUGUAACUGGGCAGAAGAGAGGUAGGCGGGGCUUUGAGUCCGGGCUUGGGGUCUCUGGCAGGGACCAUGUGAAGCCGGAAGAGGAAGGAAGAAGCCGCCAUAGGGUAGGCGGGUCGUGAAUGCAUGGCUAUGAGGGGCCUGCCUGUUAGAGUAGGAGAGGCCCAGGCAGAACACAGCAAGUGACAUCUUGGGAUUUUUGACAGGGAAGUAGACAAAAGACUAUAGAGGGUUGAUAUCAGCUCAGCGCCUGUGAUUUUAUGCUUGUUAUCAAUAUAAAGUGUUUUGGUUUUUAUUAUUAAUACAAAAGCAGUGAGUUGCCUCUAUGCCCGUGUUACCAACUGGUGAUGGCAUCAAUUUUCUGUCACUGUAGUCAGUACCCAAGGACAAGCUUGUUUCAGCAGACAAGAGGCCCCAGGGCAUCACACUGUCAUUGUCUUAUCUCUGGUCAGGGCCCCUCUUUACCGCAUUACCUCAUGGCAGCAGCCUAUGUGAGAGAAAUAGGUCACAGCUCAAAACUGGAUGCCAGAGGGACACUCUGAGUCUUACAGUCUCUUCCUAGCUCCUCUUCCCCAAGUGACCCAGGGGUUUCCCUGUGGGUGCUACCUCUUAAAAGCCCUUCGCUGUCUAUGUUGUCUCUGGGAACCAAUCUUCCAACACGUGAACCUUUGGGACACACAUUUAAAUAUGUCCGAAACCUCCUGCCCAAGAUUCAUGCCCAUCUCUCAAUACAAAACAUAUCCCAUCCCCACAGUCAAAAGCCUUAACCAUUCCAGUAUUCAUCAAGAAUCCAACCCAGGGCUGGGGCAGAUAGCUCAGGCAGUGCUGUGUUUGUCACACAAGCAUGAAGAUCUGAGUUUGAUCCGAGUAGAAAGCUAAAUUCGAUAGCAAGUGCUUGUUACCGUAGCAGGGUUUCACUGACCAGCCAGUCUUGUCUGUAGCUGUAACUCCAACUCCAGAGGAUGCAGUGCCCUCUUCUGGCCACUGCUGGUACUGCAUUCAUGUACACACACACACACACACACACACACACACACACACACACAAUUAAAAUGAGCAACUUAGACUUAUAAGAACUUUCUAGAGUUGGCACUGAGACGCUGUCUCUCUUUCUUUCAUCCCCCAUAGUACCAUUCUAAGAGCUAUGACCCUCACCCCAACACCAUGAACUUAACAGCAUCCUUUAUUCUGUCCCCACAGGCUUUCUCCCACUCAUUGUGGGAAAGUCAGUGGACAAUUUUGCUAUUCUUAGUCCCCUCCUAUCUACCUUAAUUCCUUACUUGGCUUUUGUGAACUUGACACAUUAGAAGGGUUAUUCUGUGCCUGUUUUCUCAUAAUUAGAUCAAGAUUGAACUUUGUGGGGGGCACAGAUUCCCUCUUUGUGCUGGGCCUUCUCACCCAUCCACCCGUUAGUCUCAUUACUUGUAGCAUUUAACAGGUAUGGACCACUCCCGUGGUCUUGACAGCUUUCUCUACUAAAAGUUUCCAUUGGAAAUUAAUAAAUGCCUUGGAGGAGCCAUUUUGAGAUUGCAAAGCCCACUGUUUCUAAGCAUUUCUCUAGUCUGGGUUUUGUGGAGGUUGUCUGCAGAGGUUGUCCACAGUGGUCACCGUCGGGCCAGCAUCGGGUUAUAUUUACCUUGUUCCUUUAUAUUGGAGCAAUUGCAAUUAUUCUGUAAGGAAGAGCCAUCUCUCUACCUCACUCACCCAUGUAUUCGUUUUAUUAUGUCAGUAUUGACCCACGUAUAUUUAUUGUAUAGAUUGUCAUUGUGUGGUUUGGUGUUCAAAUUGUAUCUGCUUGGCCAAUGGGAAGUCUUUGGAGGUUGGUUUUUGUGACCCUGCGACCCUUAUAUAGAUCUAUCUUUUGGGGUUGAGGGUGUUGGGAAUGAUACUGAUUGGUCAGUUUUGUCAACUCGACACAAGCUAGAGUCAUCUGGGAAGAAGGAACCUUGAUUGAGAAGACGCCUCCAUCAGACCGCCUGUAGGAAAGUCUGCUAUGACUGAUGAUUGAUGUGGGAGGCCCCGCCCACGGGGGGGCGGUGCCAAUCCUGGGCAGGCGGUCCUGGGUGGUAUAAGAAAUCAGGAUGAGGGCUGGAGAGAUGGCUCAGCGGUUAAGAGCACUGACUGCUCUUCCAGAGAUCCUGAGUUCAAUUCCCAGCAACCACAUGGUGGCUCACAACCAUCUGUAAUGAGAUCCAGCGCCCUCUUCUGGUGUGCAUGCAGGCAGAACACUGUAUACAUAAUAAAUAAUUUUUAAAACUCUGACUUUGUUCUUGUGGCCGUCAUAGUUUUCUCUGACUUUCCUCUGCUGUACCCACCUUUGAGUUGUGCAUGGCUCUGUAAGUAACCCCUCUUUCUUGCUACCUAAGUCACCCCAGGAAACCCUGGGGGUAAACUCGACUAAAUUUAGGUAGAGCCAAGGACUCCUGAGCCCUUUCCGGAGUGCACAGAUGUUUGACUGUGUCUCUUCCAGAAAAGCCACACAAGGAGAUUAGAGAAAAGGGAUAAGGGGGAGAAGGGACAGAAAGAGGAAGAAGAUGGCGGUGCUAACAUUUCUGGCAGCAAAUUACUUAUGUAUCCCUUGGUGUGCCUGAAGCCGUUUGCAUACCGUGUCUCGGUAACAGAUGGCCAGGAUGAAUGUUGCUAUCCUAAUUGUGUUUCAGAGAAGCCCAGCGUCAGGUGGCUGUGGCUGGGGAAGGUCUAGGUCUACGUCUGGUGUUCUCACUAUUCUCUUUGGACUCUGCCCUGAGGAUGGGCAAGAUCAGGGCCCCAUUAGUGGUGUGAGUUCAGUCAUCUCUCAGAGCACUGUGUGAGCAAAGUACCAUCCAGGAAGCUACUCAGCCAUCUUCCCUCCGUGCCGUAUCAUCUCAUUUUGUUUGGAGGCAGUAAAAGGCCCAGUGGCACACGACUUCUCAGGCAGUGACAUCACUUCACACGGUCUAUGGAUUAGUACACUGACAAGUGUCUGGGAAGGUUUCUGCUGGGCCCUUUGCAUCCAGAGGCCCGACACAGGAUGAGUUGGCAGUUUUGAUGCUGGGAUGUUUCUGCCCAGUCUGACAGUGUGCGGAAGUUGCUAAGAUAUGCCCUGCAGUAGUAUGUUUUGAAGGGGGAGGCCUUAUGUGCGUAACUCCGUUCUAAUGGGUUGUUCUAAUUGUCUAGUUAAUUGCCUCAUUUGAUUGUUAGCAUUGUUAAUCUUUUGCUGUGCCUCAUUUAUAAAUGUCACCCAUGUGUGUACAUGUGUGUGUAUGUGUGUGUGUACGUGUGUGUGUGUCUCUGUGUGUGUGUCUCCAUGUGUGUGUAUGUGUGUAUGUAUGUGUGUGUAUGUAUGUAUGUAUGUAUGUAUGUGUGUGUAUGUGUGUGUAUGUAUGUGUGUGUCUCCGUGUGUGUGUAUGUGUGUCUCCAUGUGUGUGUAUGUGUGUAUGUAUGUAUGUAUGUGUGUAUGUGUGUAUGUGUGUAUGUAUGUGUGUGUCUCCAUGUGUAUGUGUGUAUGUGUGUCUCCAUGUGUGUGUAUGUGUGUAUGUAUGUGUGUAUGUAUGUAUGUAUGUGUGUAUGUGUGUGUGUAUGUGUGUGUCUCCAUGUGUAUGUGUGUAUGUGUGUGUCUCCAUGUGUGUAUGUGUGUAUGUAUGUGUGUAUGUAUGUAUGUAUGUGUGUAUGUGUGUGUAUGUAUGUGUGUAUCUCUGUGUAUGUGUGUAUGUGUGUGUGUAUGUGUGUGUCUCCAUGUGUGUAUGUGUGUGUAUGUAUGUAUGUAUGUGUGUAUGUGUGUGUAUGUAUGUGUGUGUCUCCGUGUGUGUGUGUGUGUGUGUGUGUGUGUAGGAAAACGUAACACGUUAUUGUUCUGGCAUCUAAUGAGGAUCUUGGUGCAUUUUCCUCAUGGGUAAGGCAUGUCCACUGUGUCUUCUCCCAGCGUGUGCCUGGCUGCUUUUUUUUUUUUUUUUUUAUCAUGUGAACAGUGUCCUCUAUCAAAUGCAGAACCUGUAAGCAGUGGAGUGUGGUUAGAGAAAGUUAGGUCGCCGGAGUUUGAUCCUCAGUGGGAAUACUGGGUCGCCUACACCUUCUUCUUCGACUUCACUUCCCACAUGCUACGGAGUGGUGAGUUCCCACUGUCCUGUGCCCCUACCAGGAUAUACUGCCUGCUAGAAGCCUAGAGGCAUCAGGUUGAGCCUCCAUGGCUUCAGACUUCUAAAACCAUAUGCUCAGCUAAACGUUUCCUCUUUUUCAAAUUGAUACCCUCAUUUGAAUAACCAAUAUUUUCUACAGUGUCAUUUUGAACACACAGUCCUCUUUGGGGAGGUUGUGGAAUCCUAAGGAGACAGAGCCUAGCUGGAUGCAGCGAGCCAGUGGGGGCUCUCGGGGAUUGUCUCCCACCUGCCCCCAUGUGAAAAGCUCCCCCACCAAAUGUUCCCGCCAUCUUUCCCAGGCAAUGUGGGGCCAAGUAGCCAUGGAUCAUACCCUCUAAAACCAUCUCUCCUGCUUAAGAUGCUCUGUCAGGUAUGUGAUCACGCUGAUGAAAAAGGCAUCUUGAGGUUUUUAUUUUUUCUAAAGUGGCACCAGGAUGGGGGUCACCGCUAUGCUGGAACCUGACAGUGUGGUUGCUUGGCCUUUGGAAGUGAUUUAUGGGAUCGAUUUGAAAACAUUUGGAGCGCAAACUGGAGAAGUUCUAGAAUGCUGCGUGCUGAGCUUAGUGGGUGAGAGUUCAGGACAGGAGAACAUUGGGAAUACAGACCAUCAAUAACCGUGCAGCUCAGAUGGGAGCAAGGAGUCUCCUAGGAAUCCUUGUUUACCCAAGGAUACUGAAAAAGACUCAUAUCUCCUUACAAGUAUUAUUUACAACAGUCCCAAGCUGGGAACAGCCCAGUGACCACCCAAUGACAAAUAGACAGACAGAUUGUGACGUUCCUAUACUGUGAAAUAGCGGUUGAUAAAAGAAAUAUUCCUGCGCACAACGAAAUGGCUGGGUCUCAAAAAACCACUAAGUGAAACACCCACUCAUUGUAUGACUUCAUUCGUGUGAAGUUCUGUGAAGAGCAGAUUAUAGCAGACCAGCGGGGGCGUGGUCAAAGGCCAGUGGACCGCCUCGAUGCGGAGAACACACUGAGGGAACUUUAAGGGGACAUUAGAAAGGUUGACUGUUCAUUUGUAGAUUAAUUGUGGUUAUGGUUACAUAACCCCACACAAGUACUGAAGUUAAUCAAACUGUGUCCCGAAAGCCAGCAAAUGUUAUUGCCUAUGAUUUAUACCUCAAUAAAUCUAAGUAAGAAUAAAUUUCAAACGUAAAAUAAAGCAAAAAAAAACAAAGAUUCCAUGCGCCGGUGGGCGGAGUACUUGGGAGUGUCACACGCUGUUUGUUGAAGUGUAAAAUUGGGCAGCCCCUCUGGGGAAGGGGCUGGCUGUUUCCUUCAGAGUAAAACACACACACUUGCCAGAUUCCAUUCCCGAGUAUUUACUCAAGAGAAAUGGAAACAUAUGUUCACCAAGAGACUUUUUACGUGAAUAUUAAUAGCAGCUUCAUUCACCAGAGUCUCAAACUCGGAGUGACCCGAGUUCCUUCAGUCAGUGAAUGGGCAGAUUGUGGCGCAGUUGCACAGUGAAAUACUACUCGGGGGAAAAACAGCCCUCGAGAAAAAUAACCAACAAAACACCCACACACCAAUGGUGAACACGGCCUCGAGGGCAUGUCCCACUGCACCUGAAUGGAAGGAGGGUGCUCUCCUGGGACUCUACCGAACGGACAGAACCGUUGUCUAGGGCGAAGGAUUUGCCUGUGGGGUGGCUCAGGGCAACUCGUGGAAACAGAAUGUCCCUGCUCUUGUCUGUCCGGGUCUGUCAAGAUUCAUCAAACGCUGAUGUCAGAGCUGGAGAAGUUUUUUUAAAAAGUACUUUAUGUUUAUGUGUUCUCGUUCUCUCUCUCUCUCUCUCUCUCUCUCUCUCUCUCUCUCUCUCCCUCCCUCCCCCUCCCUCCCUUUCUCCCUCUGUCUCUGUCUCUGUCUCUGUCUCUCUCUCUCUCUCUCUCUCUCUCUCUCUCUCUCUCUCUCUCUCUCUCUGUGUGUGUGUGUGUGUGUGUGUUUGUGCAUGUGGUGCAUGUGUCUGAUUCCCACAGAGGCCAGAAGAGAGAGUGGAGCUCAUGGGAUUGGAGUUACACGUGGUGGCUGGCAAUCAAAACCCGGUCCUCUGGAAGAGCAGCCAGUGCUCUUAACCUCUGAGCUUUGUGUCCAGCCCCGAAGUCUCUCUUUUUAAGAGCGAAAGAUAGCAGCAUUCUCGAGGGCUUUUACGGCUCCUUCCACUUUAACACGAACUUUGCACCGUGCCAUCGAUUUUUUUCUCCACGUAUUGAACAGCAACUGCAAGACAGAAGAUUGGAAAAGCAAGAGCAUCGUCGAUUGUCCUUCAAUCUUCUGGAAAUAAGACCAGGGCUUGGGGUUUACAUCUAAGACCAGUGGGCUCCUUGCUUAUCCAUCUGUUGAUUGCCCCUGCAGGAAACCUGAAGCCUACUUAGAUAAUAUCCAUGGAAGUUAAAAAUAAAAAUAAAAUCCCUGUUAUCUU